UACGUAGGGGGCAAGCGUUGUCCGGAUUCAUUGGGCGUAAAGAGCGUGUAGGCGGCCAGGCAGGUCGGUUGUGAAAACUGGAGGCUCAACCUUCAGACGUCGACCGAAACCAUCUGGCUAGAGUCCGGGAGAGGAGAGUGGAAUUCCUGGUGUAGCGGUGAAAUGCGCAGAUAUCAGGAGGAACACCGGUGGUGUAGACGGCUCUCUGGGCCGUAACUGACGCUGAGACACGAAAGCGUGGGGAGCAAACAGG
rnacentral:rRNA from 1 species